rnacentral:tRNA from 2 species
GGAGGGGUGGCUCAGAGGUUAAGAGCACUUGGCUGCUCUUCCAGGGGACCUGGGUUCAAUUCUCAGCACCCACA